UUGGGAUCCAUCUGGGGAGAAUACUCUACCAAAAGAAAUUCCCUCCACAGAAGAACCCUUGACAGGCUCAGCCUGGGUCUGAAACAGUGAUUCUCAGCUCUGAUAACAGUGGAUUCACCUGAGGUACUUUUAAAGCUAGUCAGGCCCACUCCCACACGAGGUUCGAACAGGCAGCUAGGCUGGAAAAUCACUGGCCUCAAAAGAAAAUGGUGGCCUGUGAAAGCUGAUGUCACCAGGGCACUUAGGAACCCCUCAGAGACAGGGUAACCAGUCUCAGCAGAGUGUACCUAAUACUGCCUAUUAUCCAAGAGUCUUGGUUCCCCGAGCUUCUUGUCUCCUCGGGUGAACGACCCUGGCGACUUUGGUGACCAAGCUUGCCACCACUUGUUAUGUAAUCCAGGCAGGGCAACAUCGUUAUAUCUGCUUGUUUCUCUCUCAUCCUUCUUUGGCUUCUCAAUUUCCUCAGAGUCAGCCGUGGGACACAACACUAACAGGAAGAUAGAGAGUUUCUGAUCCCCAUCCUGAAAUUCCAUGAAGUCUGAUCCAUGAGAAAAUGCAAACGUACUGGAAAAGCGGAGAGCGUGGGGCAGUCAGUCAUUCCUGCCUUCGUACCUGUGGGUUUGCUAACUGGCCAACUCCUGACAGUGAGAAGGGAAGGAGGAAGGGACAGGACCAGGGCAGAGGGAGGGAUGAGCUGACACAUGUGAGAGAAUCAGAAGCUGCGGAGCACAAACCGCCCUGGAAGGAAGGAGACAGAAAGAGAAAGGGCAAGCCCCAGGAGGCCAGAUGAGGCCAAGGAAAGGGGAGGUGUGUGUCCAUACUGACUCAGACCUCCCUGGAGACCCAGGCUGCAUGCUGGUUCUCAGGCCCCUCCAUUGGCUUAAUCAAAAGCCACCUGCGGGAAGCUGCUGGUCAGAUGGACUUUCCCACAAUCCCCAGUUAGCACAACAUCAAGUCAGAAGGCUGCUCUGGAAGCCAAUACAAACAGAGCCAGACAUGUUUUCCCCAGGGGGCCCUGAUGUCCAGAUGGGUUUCUCAGCUUGGCUGCUGCCCACACAUCCAUGCUGGUGAGCCAAGGCUGGGGGUUGGUUUUCUAAUCUUCCCACAGGUAGACAAGCUGGUUCCCUCAGCAGAGACUCAGAGCGAGGGUAACUUUGGGAAUCAGGAAAGGGCAAACCCCUUCCUUGCCACCCUCCUUGUCCCUGUUAGACAAAAAGAAGGAAAAGAAUACAUUGUAAGGUGAAAAUGGGGCUGAGAACGGAGCACUGGGGAAAUAAAUGUUAGAAUAUGGUGCUAAUCAGGCAAGAAUAUGAGAUUUUUAAGUAACCGAAGUCUACUUCAUGUCCUUUGAAAUACCACAUGACAAGCCUUCUGGGGCACUGAAUAUGGC
ensembl:lncRNA